rnacentral:rRNA from 1 species
GAUGAACGCUGGCGGCGUGCCUAAUACAUGCAAGUCGAGCGAACGGACGAGAAGCUUGCUUUUCUGAUGUUAGCGGCGGACGGGUGAGUAACACGUGGAUAACCUACCUAUAAGACUGGGAUAACUUCGGGAAACCGGAGCUAAUACCGGAUAAUAUUUUGAACCGCAUGGUUCAAAAGUGAAAGACGGUCUUGCUGUCACUUAUAGAUGGAUCCGCGCUGCAUUAGCUAGUUGGUAAGGUAACGGCUUACCAAGGCAACGAUGCAUAGCCGACCUGAGAGGGUGAUCGGCCACACUGGAACUGAGACACGGUCCAGACUCCUACGGGAGGCAGCAGUAGGGAAUCUUCCGCAAUGGGCGAAAGCCUGACUGAGCAACGCCGCGUGAGUGAUGAAGGUCUUCGGAUCGUAAAACUCUGUUAUUAGGGAAGAACAUAUGUGUAAGUAACUGUGCACAUCUUGACGGUACCUAAUCAGAAAGCCACGGCUAACUACGUG